rnacentral:rRNA from 1 species
CGCUGGCGGCACGCCUAACACAUGCAAGUCGAACGCAGUAGCAAUACUGAGUGGCAAACGGGUGAGUAUAAUGUGGGAAUCUGCCUUUUGGUUUGGAAUAACACGGGGAAACUUGUGCUAAUACCGAAUAAGCCUUUACAGGGAAAGUUUUAAUGCCGAAAGAUGAGCCCGCACUUGAUUAGCUAGUUGGUAAGGUAAAAGCUUACCAAGGCAAUGAUCAAUAGCUGUUCUUAGAGGAAGACCAGCCACAUUGGGACUGAGACACGGCCCAGACUC